rnacentral:rRNA from 1 species
UCCGGUGGCUAUGGCUGGAGGGACCCACCUGUUCCCAUCCCGAACACAGAAGUUAAGCCUCCAUGCGCUGAAGGUACUUGGCUGGCAACGGCCCGGGAGACGAUGACGCUGCCGGAU